GAUGCUGGACUGGUGGGCACCUCGGAUGCAGCUGCUCUCCUGUGCCUGUGACGCGGGGCAAAUAGGAAGUGGUGAUUUCUAUACUCAGUGCUCAGAACAGUGAGCACUAAGAAUGGUCUGUAGCCGAACAAGC
ensembl:snoRNA